GUAGGGAAUCUUCGGCAAUGGGGGCAACCCUGACCGAGCAACGCCGCGUGAGUGAAGAAGGUUUCGGAUCGUAAAGCUCUGUUGUAAGAGAAGAACGUGUGUGAGAGUGGAAAGUUCACACAGUGACGGUAACUUACCAGAAAGGGACGGCUAACUACGUGCUAG
rnacentral:rRNA from 1 species